GUAGAUCCGUUGCUCGUCCAGCUCGGCGCCGUUAGGCGAGAGGACCGCGGCGCGAGUACGACAGCUCUGCUGGUGGUCGUCGUCGAACGAGGAACGGGCGUCUGCGGUACAUAUCUCUCUCUCUCUCCUUGGCCCUUCAGUUAAGCCCCCAAAGAAACGGUGCAGUCGUACCUAGCCAGUUUUGGCCCUACUCGGUCGUAGUUCUGGCCGGUUUUGGCCCUCCUCCUACUUUGAACAGGCCAAAAUUCUCAACCUCCACGUACAACAGACCAAAGUAUCAACUCCCUGGCUUAGAUCUGAGGCAGUUUUUAAUUCCCUGCUUUUUAUAUAAAAAAAGUUUUUUUUAACCCGGGCCCAAAGCGAAGUUAGGACCGAGGUGGUGACCGACCUACGCAGUAUACAAUAGUUUAACGUGUUACCUAGUACAUCUCGAAUUCUACAUGAGGGAGGCAGGCUUUUUUGAACAGUAGUUUUACCUGUUUUUCCCCACAUACGUCUUGAUUUUAUGUAGAUCUAUGUAGGGGAAAAUAAGUAAAACUACUGUAAAGGCCUGCCUCCCUCAUGUCGUAUACAAACAUAAUUAAAGUCAAACUAUGUUUAGUUUUUUUUUCAACCUAUUCAUUUUUAUUGAGACCACACUUUGCUAUUUCGUUUGUCGAUUCUUUGUUUUGACCGGUUUGUCGAACCAGUAUAUCGACACUUUAACGUUCGUCGACUCGGCUCUAGCUACUUGCAGUUACAGUAGAAGUAGAGUUCUAUAGUCCAUGCACGUUGAGUACCAAAGAAAUCAAAAACAUAUAGAACGCCACUCGAUCUUCUUUUGUUGUUUUAUGUAGUCUUGACAAUCUCUUCUCUUCUUCUAAGAACCACCAACGACAAUACUUCCGUACUUACCACAACAGUGGAAAAGGUAAGAGAAGAUGUUUUCAAGUGCCUAGUAUCUCGUCUCGUACAUCAUGAUAUUAUGAAAAGUAUACCAUAAGAGUUGUUAUUUUUUUUACUAUGAUACACUCUUUCAUUCACAUACUCAUACUAUUUAGUUUGACCCUACUUUGAAGUCAAUUAACGAAUUUCUAGCGACUUGAAGAGAUCUCCUCGAUCGCUCGUGUUCGGACUUAAAAAUUACAAAAGAUAACAAGUGCAGUAAACCAACUACCUUUAGUUUUCCAUCUCCAAUUUCUUUAUGACGCUCAGUGUCCCUUCCUUUAAUCUUCUUUCUCUUUGUCCUCUACGUAAAACAAAGUCCAUUUAUUCAAGAGCUAUGUAGGUUGGGUGAUUUUGAUGUUCCCGUGUUUCUGUAUGUCGUUUCUGUAGACACUGUCGAAUUGUUUUUCCCUCAGACCUUGGUUGGUGGUCGUCAACGAAUUUUUUUGGGUGGUUGUUUCUUCAGGAAUUAGAAGUAAAAUGUUGCGUUCCAUCCAAUUAAUCGAACACGUCAUGUCAUCAUCUAUACAUGUUAGUAGUCCACUAACCGGUAGGAACAAAAAGUCCACCUAAACUCGGACAGGUCGACCACAAACUGGACAUCUAAUUGGUACUUGCUCCGACAUGUUACCUCUGGUUCUAGUACUGUAGAGGAGGUUUUAGGAGUCCUAGGACCGUCAAGGGGUAGUCGUCGACUUAUUUCUAGAGAGAAAGGCCUUACUCUGGGUUACGAUGGACUGUUAAACGUUGAUACGAGUUGUCUAAUCCAGUCACCUUUGUUGAGUUUGGUUGACUACUGACGUUGAGCCGUUUAAUUAGAUGCGUGUGCUAGCUACUUGAUCUAAACGGCGCACUUGUUAGAAGUCUAUUAACGCUCAUCGAACAUAUCGUUACAUUUUAUUAUGAAGUUUAAGACUUCUUCAGUACUAGUACUUUCGUCAUACAGUUGACUAGUAUGGGACAUUCGUCGACUACUCUAGGUAGGUACCUUACCGAAGUCCCACGACAACAUACGAAGAAG
rnacentral:rRNA from 1 species